UUACCAGACUCCUACGGGAGGCAGCAGUGGGGGAUAUUGGACAAUGGGGGGAACCCUGAUCCAGCGACGCCGCGUGAGUGAAGAAGUAUUUCGGUCUGUAAAGCUCUGUCAGCAGGGAAGAAAGAAAUGACGGUACCUGACCAAGAAGCCCCGGCUAACUACGUGCCAGCAGCCGCGGUAAUACGUAGGGGGCAAGCGUUAUCCGGAAUUACUGGGUGUAAAGGGAGCGUAGACGGUUAAGUAAGUCUGGAGUGAAAGGCCGGGGCCCAACCCCGGGACUGCUCUGGAAACUAUUCAACUUGAGUGCAGGAGAGGUAAGCGGAAUUCCUAGUGUAGCGGUGAAAUGCGUAGAUAUUAGGAGGAACACCAGUGGCGAAGGCGGCUUACUGGACUGUAACUGACGUUGAGGCUCGAAAGCGUGGGGAGCGAAAGGGAUUAGAUACCCGAGUAGG
rnacentral:rRNA from 1 species